GUCUCCGGCCAUACCACCGUGAACGCGCCCGAUCUCGUCUGAUCUCGGAAGCUAAGCAGGGUCGGGCCUGGUUAGUACUUGGAUGGGAGGAAAUCGAUUGCAGCCAAUGAAA
rnacentral:rRNA from 1 species